rnacentral:rRNA from 1 species
GAACGCUGGCGGCGUGCCUAAUACAUGCAAGUCGAGCGAACAGAUAAGGAGCUUGCUCCUUUGACGUUAGCGGCGGACGGGUGAGUAACACGUGGGUAACCUACCUAUAAGACUGGGACAACUUCGGGAAACCGGAGCUAAUACCGGAUAAUAUGUUGAACCGCAUGGUUCAAUAGUGAAAGAUGGUUUUGCUAUCACUUAUAGAUGGACCCGCGCCGUAUUAGCUAGUUGGUGAGGUAACGGCUCACCAAGGCAACGAUACGUAGCCGACCUGAGAGGGUGAUCGGCCACACUGGAACUGAGACACGGUCCAGACUCCUACGGGAGGCAGCAGUAGGGAAUCUUCCGCAAUGGGCGAAAGCCUGACGGAGCAACGCCGCGUGAGUGAUGAAGGUCUUAGGAUCGUAAAACUCUGUUAUUAGGGAAGAACAAACGUGUAAGUAACUGUGCACGUCUUGACGGUACCUAAUCAGAAAGCCACGGCUAACUACGUGCCAGCAGCCGCGGUAAUACGUAGGUGGCAAGCGUUAUCCGGAAUUAUUGGGCGUAAAGCGCGCGUAGGCGGUUUUUUAAGUCUGAUGUGAAAGCCCACGGCUCAACCGUGGAGGGUCAUUGGAAACUGGAAAACUUGAGUGCAGAAGAGGAAAGUGGAAUUCCAUGUGUAGCGGUGAAAUGCGCAGAGAUAUGGAGGAACACCAGUGGCGAAGGCGACUUUCUGGUCUGUAACUGACGCUGAUGUGCGAAAGCGUGGGGAUCAAACAGGAUUAGAUACCCUGGUAGUCCACGCCGUAAA